rnacentral:rRNA from 1 species
GACGAACGCUGGCGGCGUGCUUAACACAUGCAAGUCGAGCGGUAAGGCCCUUCGGGGUACGACGAGCGGCGAACGGGUGAGUAACACGUGGGUGACCUGCCUCUAGCUCUGGGAGUAAGACCUGGGAAGCUGGGUCUAAUACCGGAUAUGGACCUCGCGGUGCAUGUUGCGGGUGGAAAGCCUUGUGCGGCUAGGGAUGGGCCCGCGGCCUAUCAGCUUGUUGGUGGGGUGANGGCCUACCAAGGCGACGACGGGUAGCCGGCCUGAGAGGCGACCGGCCACACUGGGACUGAGACA